GCAUAUCAAUAAGCGGAGGAAAAGAAACCAACAGGGAUUGCCCUUAGUAACGGCGAAGUGAAGCGGCAACAGCUCAAAUUUGAAAUCUGGCUCUUUUAGGGUCCGAAGUUGUAAUUUGCAGAGGGCGCUUUGGCGUUGGCAGCGGUCCAAGUUCCUUGGAACAGGACGUCACAGAGGGUGAGAAUCCCGUACGUGGUCGCUGGCCUUCGCCGUGUAAAGCCUCUUCGACGAGUCGAGUUGUUUGGGAAUGCAGCUCUAAAUGGGAGGUAAAUUUCUUCUAAAGCUAAAUACUGGCCAGAGACCGAUAGCGCACAAGUAGAGUGAUCGAAAGAUGAAAAGCACUUUGGAAAGAGAGUCAAAUAGCACGUGAAAUUGUUAAAAGGGAAGCGCUUGCAGCCAGACUUGCCCGUAGUUGCUCAUCCAGGCUUUUGCCUGGUGCAUUCUUCUAUGGGCAGGCCAGCAUCAGUUUGGGCGGUUGGAUAAAGGUCUCUGUCAUGUACCUCCUUUCGGGGAGGCCUUAUAGGGGAGACGACAUGCAACCAGCCUGGACUGAGGUCCGCGCAUUCGCUAGGAUGCUGGCGUAAUGGCUGUAAGCGGCCCGUCUUGAAACACGGACCAAGGAGUCUAACAUCUAUGCGAGUGUUUGGGUGUCAAGCCCGAACGCGCAAUGAAAGUGAACGGAGGUGGGAACCCUUAAGGGUGCACCAUCGACCGAUCCUGAUGUCUUCGGAAGGAUUUGAGUAAGAGCAUAGCUGUUGGGACCCGAAAGAUGGUGAACUAUGCUUGAAUAGGGUGAAGCCAGAGGAAACUCUGGUGGAGGCUCGCAGCGGUUCUGACGUGCAAAUCGAUCGUCAAAUUUGGGCAUAGGGGCGAAAGACUAAUCGAACUAUCUAGUAGCUGGUUCUGC
rnacentral:rRNA from 1 species